UACGUAGGGGGCAAGCGUUGUCCGGAUUUAUUGGGCGUAAAGAGCGUGUAGGCGGCCACACAGGUCUGCUGUGAAAACUCGAGGCUCAACCUCGAGACGUCGGUUGAAACCGUAUGGCUAGAGUCCGGAAGAGGAGAGUGGAAUUCCCGGUGAUCAGCGGUGAAAUGCGCAGAUAUCGGGAAGAACACCCGUGGCGAAGGCGGCUCUCUGGGACGGUACUGACGCUGAGACGCGAAAGCGUGGGGAGCGAACAGG
rnacentral:rRNA from 1 species